ACACUUUAAAACAUACAAACUUCAAGUUACUAUUGCAGCAAUAGUGUGCUGCCGAUUUUGCCCCCACCUUUCAACCUUAAUUACUGGAUUUUUCCAUGACGUUGGAUGGUGCCACGUGUUCUAUCAGCCAUCUGCCUGGUUUGCUCCUCUUUGUUUUCCCUUUCUCUUUCCUCGACUGAGAUCUUCUUCCCCUUCCAUUUUCUAGAAACCCUAGCUCUAUCUCCGCAAUCUCCACAAUCUCCAUCGCCCCCUUCACCUAUCUCCUUCCAUCAUCCUGGAUUUUCAGAUCGUCAAUCCCCGUUUUUCUUCAAGAGGAUGUUGUUUUAUGGUGAUCAAAGGCCACGUUCGAGGAUUUUGAGAAGGAGUCCGACAUUGAUGCAUUCGAAUGUGAUAAUCGAUUGUUUUCUAUGGUUUUGUUAUUAAUUUUGCUAUUUUUGGUCAGUUUAACUCACUACCUCCUUCAUUUUCAACCCUAGCUAUCCGCUCUCAUGUGACGAAUCGGUUGAUUCUUAAUUCGCCUCUUCAACAAUCAGCACCCAGGUUCUUCAUGAUUAUACUCUCUCAAACAAAUUCUCCGCUGCGAAAACCGUUUGAACCCUCGAAUCUCAGGUAUUGGGGAAUCUAAUUGGCAAUGUCAGUGAGAAAAGCGACGAGGAUAAUGCUUCUCUUAAAACUUUGCGAGAUGCAAGUAUGAAAACAAGGAUGGUAAAGGAAGCAUAUGACAUCGAGAAGCAUCAUAUAUAGUGGAUAGAAGGCUAUGCAGAUAUAUGUUCAACAAAUGGCAUGCCCAAUAAUGAUGGACGGGUAACUAUGAGAAGGUUAUGGAAUUGUACAAUGUCCCGAGGCUUAGCCGUAACUCCUUUCCUCUUCUAACUCCCCCAAGAUCUGAAAAUGAUAAUAGCACUAUCGGUUUUGGAGUUGCGGGAAGCAAUUCAGACGGACUGAAUUCAGAGUGAGUAGUUGAUUGUGUGUGAAAAGAUGGGCGUGGCCAUCCUAUUUAUGCAAAGGCUAGAAUUUGUCCAACUUGUGGAGGGGUUGGGAGGGUAAGUUCAACUGGAUUCAUAUAUAUGACCCUUUCUUAUGCUUCUUAUUCUAAUCCAAUUUUCAAGGCUAGCCACUUGCAAGUUUUCCUUAUAUGGAAGGAAACCUCUCCGUAAAAUUGAGUCUACGAGUUUUCAAAAUUACCAUUUAUUCAGCCCCCAAGCUUGAGCGUCCAAAGUAUACAGCUCAGACCCAGCUUCUACAUAUGCUACUGGUUGGCCACUAUAUCAAGCUUUUAGUGGCAGAUUCAGCAUCUAAGCUAAGGUUGAACUCCAAACUUCUCUAGGACUCAAUAGUUGGUUUGGUAAAUGGAAAUCCAAAAGUUGUAUGGAAGGCAGGCAUGAACAAGCAAUUAUCCAACUAUACACCUCUUGAUGAAAAUGUGAAGGCAAAGCUCUCACAGUUUUCCCAACAUUUGGCACAUUCCUCCACUUCUUAGAGCUCAUGAAUCUGUAUUAAAAUGCUCAACCUCUACAGAAUCCAGUACUAGAUUAAUGGACUAGGAGAGCUCAACUCUGCAGCUUGUUGUACGAGCCUGUGAGGAUAGCCAUGGUGGAAAGUACAGUGGACUUUCAGAUUCUUAUCUAUUUGUACUAAAGUUCUGUAAAUUUGCAAAACAAUCGUUGCCGUGAAGAUGUUUCGUACUAAGCAUUUCUAGGCGGAGACCAACAACAGCCCUCUCCAAAAGCAACGUGCUCAAGUGGCAUCUUAAACAAGUGGCAUUAGAAGAGGUGGAGUUAGAGGGUAAUGCCAAGGAGACUUUGGAGGUUGCGGCAGAAGAGUAAACACUUUCAGAAAUGCCUCCCUUUUAUAUGCGUGCAAGCUCUAUUAAAAUCCAUGUUAAAAUCAAUAUUAUGUAUUUGUGAAAGUUAAGUAGUACCGGAACCACGUACGCCUUUUACAAGCAACCAUUGUUUAUGCUGCAUGGCUUUAGUAUUUAUGUGUUGGGUUUUUAUUAGAGGAACAUGGAACCAAAUUUUAUGUUCCGAGGACAUAUAUAGCGCGCCAUUGACCUUUGGGAUCACUUAUGACUUGUGUAGGGGUUUCUAUAUAUGUAACCUAUAUCAAUUAAUAAGAUACAUUUCUUAUCA